AGUACUGAGGUAGCGCUCGUCCUCCCGCCGGUCCACCACCACCGAGUGUAGCCCGGGCCCGGCCUAUUUCAUCAGACACAACCCCAGAGCCGGGAGCCACCCCUACCCCGGGAGCCCUUCGCCAAGCACGCAGCUCCAGACCAGAAGCAGUCGCUCCGACCCAGAGCUCCGGGUGGGGCAGAAGAAUCUUUUCUUGCUGCUCUCCUAGGAUCUACCAACCAGAGAUUCUAAUGUGAUACGUUUGGAAUGGAGUUAUCGAUCUGCAUUUUUAAUAGGCAUUCCUCCAGGCUUGGGUCCCAGCUCCAAAAUGUCUCAUUAUCUGUAUUUGAAUAUCCCCAAAUUUGAAAAAUUCAAAAUCUGAAACACUUCUGAUCCCAAGCAUUUCAGACUCCUAAGAGUUAAUACGAAGUAGAAAGAGAAGUUGGAGUUAAGCAGCUCGUUCCAGUUCUGAUUUUGCCAUUUCCUGUCUGAGUGACCUGAGUAAGUUAUUUAAACUUCUUUGGCCCUAACUGUCUUCAUCAGGAAAAGAGGCUGUGGUAAGAGUUAAAGAUGGUAAAAUGACAAAAUGCC
ensembl:lncRNA novel transcript, antisense to RBBP8